rnacentral:sRNA from 1 species
GCCGAAUCGAUCAGAAGAGAACUGACAAGUUGAAAUCAGA